rnacentral:lncRNA from 1 species
GCUCUUCCCUGGUGCACUGUGGAUGAAGUAGUUUGUUGUCAGGGACAGUAGCACAGUAGAAGCUGGGCUGGUUCCUGCUGGUUCCCUUCUUGAUAUUUUGGAAAGGAAAGACUCAUGAGGAAGAGGCUAAAUGUAGAUGAGUGUGGGUGCUUCAAGAUCGGAUUUGUUUCCUAACCCCCUUGCUAAUAUGAAAAUGUCAGGCCUUUGUUCCCAUCUAAUUUUAGUAUAUCCUGACUUAAAAAAAAUAUUAGGAUGAUUUCCAGCCAUGGAACUUGUAGAGGCGGGACACGGGGAGGGGGGUGGGGGGAGAGUGGAGGAAAGAGCAGUUUAUAGUGCAUAUCCGCCUGCCUUCUGUGACAACAGCUAGCCCUUAAUCUGUUCAUUUGCUGAGGGAAUCAAUUUAGAUGCACUGAAGCAAGCGUUUCCUUCUGUGUCUUCUGUAGAAGCCUCGCUGGAGUUUGAGUGGGGGAAAUUAUAGAAUGGUAUUUAAUGGACCGUCUCACCUGAGUCAGAGCGUCAUGCACAGGCUUUGGUAGGAAUCUGGAGUCGAGGGAUAACUCACAUCUUGUGCUGUUAAGUGAUAGUAGUAAUCGUUAUUGUUGAGAAGAUCAGCGUAAAACAUAGUUUUGAUAUGUUUAUCUGCUUGCAGACCAAAGCAGGCUUAGAGGGAAAGCUCUUGAUUCUAUGGAGGUCAAAUAAUUGAUAAUUAUUGGGUCAAAUAAUUGAUAAUAUAGUUUGCUCAGGAAAUAAAAUAAAGUCCCACAUAGACUUAGAGCUGUGCCAGUUAUUACGGUUAUUGUUUAUUUUAGAAGAGAUUUAACUAGAUUAAACUAAAAGACCAAACUCCAAGUAUCUUACCUCACUUUGAAGUAAGCUGUCUUUCCAAAGCUUAGGUCAUUUAGUGAGGCUCCCAUGGGAUGCUCCUAUGGUAAAGAUGCUACACAAACAGAAGAGAUCAUUUUGAUAUUCAGUUUGAUUAAUGGUUUGCAACAAAUGAAAUAGGUUUUUUUGAACUUGAAAUGUAGUUGGCUUUUCUUGUUUCCUUUCAUUGAAUAGUUGCAGAUUGUUUAGGUGGACUUAUUGGUGGAAUUCUUAUCUGGCAUGUUGAAGUUCCUUCCUACCUAUGGAUCUCAGAUUCCAUAAUACUAUAAACUGGGUGGCAUAAAACGGCAGACAUUUUUUUCUUAGAGUUCUGGAAGCUGGAAUUCCAAGGCCAAGGUAUUGGUAGGAUAUCAUGAUCACUCUUGUUUUUUUACAUUUAUUUAUUUAGUAUGUAUGUGAUGAAGUUAGAAAGAGCUCGUAAGCUUAGUUCUUUCCUUCUACCAUGUGGGUUCCCAAGAUUGGAUUCAGAUUAUCAGGCUUGGUAGCAGGCACCUUUGCUCACUGUCCAUCACAUUCCUGUCCCCAAGUAUGUUUUAUUUUGUAGUCUUGUUCUUUAGUUUUUAGUUGGCUGCCAUUUGUGUGUUCACAUGACCUCUUUGUGUGUGCUGGGGAAGGGAAGGCAAAAGAGAACACACAGAGACUUUCAGGAGCCUCUAUGUGAGGGCACCGAUCCCGUGACCUUCCUAACCCUGAUUAUUUCAUAAAGGCCUCAUCUACUCAUACUAUUGUAUUGGGGCUUAGGGCUUCAAGCAAUAUUGUAUGGGAAAGGAACCAGCAAAAAUACCCGAAAAUUGAGAUUUAAUGAACAAAGCCUAAAACAUAGGCUUCUAAUAUAUAUGAGGAUGUAACAUACUCCAUUUGCUAAGUAUUAGCUGUUGGGUAAUUUGAUGGCUCUUUAAGGUAUCUGUAUAUUAAAAAGGCAUAUAUGUACUUGUAAUAAAAUAUUUGAAGUAAAUGAGUAUUUUUUAAUC